CCUACGGGAGGCAGCAGUGAGGAAUAUUGGUCAAUGGGCGAGAGCCUGAACCAGCCAAGUCGCGUGAGGGAUGACGGCCCUAUGGGUUGUAAACUUCUUUUGCCGGGGAGUAAAAAGCUGUACGUGUACUGCAUUGCGAGUACCCUUAGAAUACGCAUCGGCUAACUCCGUGCCAGCAGCCGCGGUAAUACGGAGGAUCCGAGCGUUAUCCGGAGUUAUUUGGCUUAAGGGGUGCGUAGGCGGGGGGUUAAGUCAGGGGUAAAAUUUUGGGGCUAAACCGCGCCAUGCCGUUGAAACUGGAGUGCUAGAGUGGACGAGAGGUAGGUGGAAUGCGUGGUGUAGCGGUGAAAUGCAUAGAUAUCACGAGGAACACCGAUUGCGAAGGCAGCAUACCGGAG
rnacentral:rRNA from 1 species